rnacentral:rRNA from 1 species
GACGAACGCUGGCGGCGUGCCUAAUACAUGCAAGUAGAACGCUGAAGGAGGAGCUUGCUUCUCUGGAUGAGUUGCGAACGGGUGAGUAACGCGUAGGUAACCUGCCUGGUAGCGGGGGAUAACUAUUGGAAACGAUAGCUAAUACCGCAUAAUAGUAGAUGUUGCAUGACAUUUACUUAAAAGGUGCAAUUGCAUCACUACCAGAUGGACCUGCGUUGUAUUAGCUAGUUGGUGGGGUAACGGCUCACCAAGGCGACGAUACAUAGCCGACCUGAGAGGGUGAUCGGCCACACUGGGACUGAGACACGGCCCAGACUCCUACGGGAGGCAGCAGUAGGGAAUCUUCGGCAAUGGACGAAAGUCUGACCGAGCAACGCCGCGUGAGGGAAGAAGGGUUUCGGAUCGUAAAGCUCUGUUGUAAGAGAAGAACGAGUGUGAGAGUGGAAAGUUCACACUGUGACGGUAUCUUACCAGAAAGGGACGGCUAACUACGUG